UGCAGUCAGACUCCGGUUAGUACAUUUACCUAACUAUUGACAAACUAGCUCUCGUUCAAUCAACACUAUCAUAUUAUAUUUAUCCUUACAAUCUUUUCUCAAACAUGUAGGGGACUGGUGACUCGACUGCUGCUUCGUCGAGUUUUAAUGAUGUUCUUUAAGUUUCUACUUGUGUUCAUUUGAUGAUGUUCUUGAGAUAAUCAUGAUAUGUGUUGUCAUAUUGAACUUUAUGUGAUAUUUGUGAGAUGAUGAUGUUGAACUUUAUGUGAGAUGAUGAUGAUGUUGUUGAACUUUAAGUGAGAUGAUUAUGAUGUUGUUCAACUUUAUGUGAGAUGAUGAUGAUGUUGGACUUUAUGAUGAUCUUAGUGUGAUGUCAUAUUUGCUGUCAUAUUAUUGUGUUGAUUUUGAAUGAAA
rnacentral:lncRNA from 1 species